ACCAUGCCCAGGCUCUCUGCUCCCUAUAAAAGGCAGGCAGAGCCACCGAGGAGCAGAGAGGUUGAGAACAACCCAGAAACCUUCACCUCUCAUGCUGAAGCUCACACCCUUGCCCUCCAAGAUGAAGGUUUCUGCAGCGCUUCUGUGCCUGCUGCUCAUGGCAGCCACUUUCAGCCCUCAGGGACUUGCUCAGCCAGAUUCAGUUUCCAUUCCAAUCACCUGCUGCUUUAACGUGAUCAAUAGGAAAAUUCCUAUCCAGAGGCUGGAGAGCUACACAAGAAUCACCAACAUCCAAUGUCCCAAGGAAGCUGUGAUGUGAGUGGACAGUGCCUGGCACCCCCAUUCAAAAGUUCUGAUGGACAACAUAGAGAAGUCAAGAUUCAUGUCCAUAUGAGUCGGAUGCAUAUAACUUCUAUCCAAAGGGCCCCUCUACCCCAUAGAGAAACUCAGUCCAUGAGAAGGAGUCCAUAACUGCUCUAGGAUUCCCUUCUAGGGGCUUGGUGAAACUAACCCAAUAUCUGUAGCCAGGACCCUGGAGGGUUUCACCUGGACAGCAAGAGCAGAGCUUCCUUCUGGAGCUUCUUCCUCCCACUCUUCCCCUCCCUCCUCUCCCGGGUCCGGGUCCUUCACCUAAGGACCAAGGGCUGAUCAGUUCUAGGGACCAAUGGCCCACAGUCCUGUGCAGGAUCUUCAAAGUCUUCCAUCUAAUUGUGCCCUCUCUCCCCCACAGCUUCAAGACCAAACGGGGCAAGGAGGUCUGUGCUGACCCCAAGGAGAGAUGGGUCAGGGAUUCCAUGAAGCAUCUGGACCAAAUAUUUCAAAAUCUGAAGCCAUGAGCCUUCAUACAUGGACUGAGAGUCAGAGCUUGAAGAAAAGCUUAUUUAUUUUCCCCAACCUCCCCCAGGUGCAGUGUGACAUUAUUUUAUUAUAACAUCCACAAAGAGAUUAUUUUUAAAUAAUUUAAAGCAUAAUAUUUCUUAAAAAGUAUUUAAUUAUAUUUAAGUUGUUGAUGUUUUAACUCUAUCUGUCAUACAUCCUAGUGAAUGUAAAAUGCAAAAUCCUGGUGAUGUGUUUUUUGUUUUUGUUUUCCUGUGAGCUCAACUAAGUUCACGGCAAAAUGUCAUUGUUCUCCCUCCUACCUGUCUGUAGUGUUGUGGGGUCCUCCCAUGGAUCAUCAAGGUGAAACACUUUGGUAUUCUUUGGCAAUCAGUGCUCCUGUAAGUCAAAU
rnacentral:lncRNA from 1 species